rnacentral:rRNA from 1 species
UAAUAGUGUAUAUUAAAGUUGUUGCAGUUAAAAAGCUCGUAGUUGAAUGUUGGUGUCGAACGAGCGGUCAGCUUCGGCUGUACUGCUCUCUCGACUCCUUCCUUCUGUGGACUACGUCGCACUUUACUGUGUGGCGCUAGGACGCAGAUCGUUUACUGGGAAAAAAUUAGAGUGUUCAAAGCAGGCCGUACGCUUGAAUACAUUAGCAUGGAAUAAUGGAAUAGGACGUCGGGCCUAUUUUGUUGGUUCUAGGACCGUCGUAAUGAUUAAUAGGGACAGUUGGGGCCGUUUAUAUUCCGUAGUCAGAGGUGAAAUUCUUGGAUUUACGGAAGAUAAACUACUGCGAAAGCAUUCGGCAAGGAUGUUUUCGUUAA